GUGGGAGGGGGCUUGCCCCCGAUAGCGGUGUGUCAGGCGCUGAUUUAUUCGCUGAGCCACUGCAAUCGGGGGCAAGCCCCCUCCCAC
rnacentral:misc_RNA from 1 species